rnacentral:rRNA from 1 species
GUGGGGGAUAUUGCACAAUGGGGGAAACCCUGAUGCAGCGACGCCGCGUGAAGGAAGACGUACUUCGGUAUGUAAACUUCUAUCAGCAGGGAAGAAGAUGACGGUACCUGACUAAGAAGCCCCGGCUAACUACGUGCCAGCAGCCGCGGUAAUACGUCGGGGGCAAGCGUUAUCCGGAUUUACUGGGUGUAAAGGGAGCGUAGACGGUGAAGCAAGUCUGAUGUGAAAACCCGGGGCUCAACUCCGGGAUUGCAUUGGAAACUGUUUUACUUGAGUGAUGGAGGGGCAAGCGGAAUUCCUGGUGUAGCGGUGAAAUGCGUAGAUAGCAGGAAGAACACCGGUGGCGAAGGCGGCUUGCUGGACAGUAACUGACGUUGAGGCUCGAAAGCGUUGGGAGCAAACAGGAUUAGAUACCCUAGUAGUCC